rnacentral:rRNA from 1 species
GUGCCAGCCGCCGCGGUAAGACGGGAGAUGCAAGCGUUGUCCGGAUUUAUUGGGCGUAAAGAGCUCGUAGGCGGUUCAACAAGUCGGUCGUGAAAGUUCAGGGCUCAACCCUGAAAUGUCGAUCGAUACUGUUGUGACUAGGAUACGGUAGAGGUGAGUGGAAUUCCGAGUGUAGCGGUGAAAUGCGUAGAUAUUCGGAGGAACACCAAUUGCGAAGGCAGCUCACUGGACCGUGAUCGACGCUGAGGAGCGAAAGCUAGGGGAGCAAGCAGGAUUAGAUA